rnacentral:rRNA from 1 species
GUGGCGAACGGGUGAGUAACGCGUGAGUAACCUGCCCUCCGGAGGGGAAUAACUGUUCGAAAGGACAGCUAAUGCCCCAUACCCUCCCCCCUUGCUCGAGGGGUGAGGAAAGUCGGCCUCUGAUUCAAGCCGGCGCCGGUAGAGGGGCUCGCGUCCCAUCAGCUUGUUGGUGAGGUAACGGCUCACCAAGGCGACGACGGGUAGCUGGUCUGAGAGGACGAUCAGCCACACUGGGACUGAGACACGGCCCAGACUCCUACGGGAGGCAGCAGUGAGGAAUCUUGGGCAAUGGGGGCAACCCUGACCCAGCGACGCCGCGUGGAGGAUGAAGGCCUUCGGGUCGUAAACUCCUGUUCCGGGGGAAGAACAUCUCCGGGGUGAACAGCCCCGGGGACUGACGGUACCCCGGGAGAAAGCUCCGGCUAAUUACGUGCCAGCAGCCGCGGUAAUACGUAAGGAGCAAGCGUUGUCCGGAUUUACUGGGCGUAAAGAGCUCGUAGGCGGUCUGUCAGGUCCCGCGUGAAAUACCCCGGCUCAACCGGGGAGGGUCGUGGGAAACCGGCAGGCUCGAGGACAGGAGAGGAGAGUGGAAUUCCCGGUGUAGCGGUGAAACGCGUAGAUAUCGGGAGGAACACCAGUGGCGAAGGCGGCUCUCUGGUCUGAUCCUGACGCUGAGGAGCGAAAGCCGGGGGAGCAAACCGGAUUAGAUACCCGGGUAGUCCCGGCCGUAAACGAUGGAUACUAGGUGUGGGAGGUUCGACCCCUUCCGUGCCGCAGCUAACGCAUUAAGUAUCCCGCCUGGGGAGUACGGCCGCAAGGUUG